rnacentral:rRNA from 1 species
GAUGAACGCUGGCGGCGUGCCUAAUACAUGCCAGUCGAACGCUGAAGGAGGAGCUUGCUCUUCUGGAUGAGUUGCGAACGGGUGAGUAACGCGUAGGUAACCUGCCUGGUAGCGGGGGAUAACUAUUGGAAACGAUAGCUAAUACCGCAUGACAACAGUUAUUGCAUGAUAACUGUUUAAAAGGGGCAACUGCUCCACUACCAGAUGGACCUGCGUUGUAUUAGCUAGUUGGUGAGGUAACGGCUCACCAAGGCGACGAUACAUAGCCGACCUGAGAGGGUGAUCGGCCACACUGGGACUGAGACACGGCCCAGACUCCUACGGGAGGCAGCAGUAGGGAAUCUUCGGCAAUGGACGGAAGUCUGACCGAGCAACGCCGCGUGAGUGAAGAAGGGUUUCGGAUCGUAAAGCUCUGUUGUAAGAGAAGAACGAGUGUGAGAGUGGAAAGUUCACACUGUGACGGUAUCUUAACAGAAAGGGACGGCUAACUACGUG